AGCUCCAAUAGCGUAUAUUAAAGUUGUUGCGGUUAAAAAGCUCGUAGUUGGAUUUCUGCGGGGGACGAACGGUCCACCUUAUGGGUGAGUAUCUGUCAGGCCCUUGCAUCCUCGUGGGGAACGUCGCUGCGCUUUAUUGCGUGGUACGGAAUCCACGACUUUUACUUUGAGGAAAUUAGAGUGUUCACGGCAGGCAAACGCCCUGAAUAUGUUAGCAUGGAAUAAUAAUAUAGGACUUUGGUUUUAUUUUGUUGGUUUCUAGAACUAAAGUAAUGAUAAAUAGGGACAGUUGGGGGUAUUUGUAUUAAUGCGUCAGAGGUGGAAUUCUUGGAUUGCAUUACGACAAACUACUGCGAAAGCAUUUACCAAGGAUGUUUUCA
rnacentral:rRNA from 1 species